AACGAACGCUGGCGGCAGGCUUAACACAUGCAAGUCGAGCGCCCCGCAAGGGGAGCGGCAGACGGGUGAGUAACGCGUGGGAACAUACCCUUUUCCACGGAAUAACGCAGGGAAACUGGGAGUAAUACCGUAUGUGGUCGAGAGACGAAAGAUUUAUCGCCAAGGGAUCGGCCCGCGUUGGAUUAGGUAGUUGGUGGGGUAAUGGCCUACCAAGCCGACGAUCCAUAGCUGGUUUGAGAGGAUGAUCAGCCACACUGGGACUGAGACACGGCCCAGACUCCUACGGGAGGCAGCAGUGGGGAAUCUUAGACAAUGGGGGAAACCCUGAUCUAGCCAUGCCGCGUGAUCGAUGAAGGCCUUAGGGUUGUAAAGAUCUUUCAGGUGGGAAGAUAAUGACUGUACCACCAGAAGAAGCCCCGGCUAACUCCGUGCCAGCAGCCGCCGUAAAAC
rnacentral:rRNA from 1 species